AAUAAUUUUAGAUUUAAAGAAAAGUUGUAAAAAUAGUACAGCAAGUCCUUGUAUACCUUCUACCAAGCUUUUGCUAAUGUUAAUGUCUUAAAGAACCAUAGUAUAAUUAUCAACAUAAGGAAAUCAGCAUCUCUACAAGAUAAAUAAUAAAACCACAGAUCUUAUUUGGAUUUACCAGUAUUUCCAUUAACAUCCUCUUUCUAUUCCAGGAUCCUACAUUGCAUUUAGUUGCCAUAUCUCCUUAGUCUCCUCCAGUCUGUGACUGCUUCCUCAGUCUUUCCUUGCUUUUCAUGAAUUUGACACUUGAAAAGUAUGCUAGUCUGUUAUAUCAAAUGUCUCUCAGUUCAGGAUUGUCUCAUGUUUUCUCUUGAGUAUAUUAAAGUUAUGUUUUUGGCAACCACGCCAUAGAAAUGAUGCUAUUCCCCUCUCAGUUUAUCAUUUCAGAAUGUAAAUUAUACUGAAAUAUUUUAUCACUGGUGAUGUUAACCUUGGUUAAGUGGUAUCUGCCAGGUUUCUCCACAGUAAUUUCUCCCCUUAUAAUCAAUGGUUUUUAUUAAUUUGGUUUUUUUAACAGAAAACAAGCGUAGAAUAAAGAAAUUGUUCCAGUUCCUCAAAAGCAUUGUGACUAGUUGGUUAAUACUAAUCUUAUCUCAUAUGUUUUACAAUUUUAACAUCUUCUUUGCAGGUAGUUAUGUUGGGGAAAUAACUUUUUGAAUAGCCUUAACCUUAAUGGCUCUUUUCAGAGCCGUUAUUUAACUUGAAGUUUGCUGCAAAAGAACUUAAUAGGAAUGCCAAGAAAUGUGAUGAAGAAGAAAAGGCUGAAAAGGCCAAGAUUAAAAGGUAACAAGUCCAUAUGAGGCAUAGUUAAGUCUGUGGGUGCUUCAUUGAGGAGUAGAACCUUGAAAAGACUUCAGCCUUGAUGAACAAAUUCGAACACCAGUUUGAAAUAUUGGAUAUUCAAACACAACAAAUGGAAGAUAAAAUGAGUAACUCUACAACCCUAACAACACCACAAGAAGGAGAGUGAAUCGGGUCUCCCUUACUCCAUUUUGACCAGAUAUGGAAGAUGAGGAAACUGAAUGUGAUCUGAUACUCAAGAUAGCUGCUUUGCAGUAUUUCCCUCCAUGGUUAUACAGGAUUUUGACUUCAGCAUGUGUGUGGUCUUGAAGGCCACUUAGGAUGAGACUGAUUGCAGGAGACUAAGGAUAUUGGCUAUGAUACCUUCUAUAUUUAUAAGGUAGAGUAUGGCUUACAAAAUGCCAUAAUAUUAUUAUUAUUUUUUUUAACCAACAUCUAUUCCUUCUUUUUAUAGUAACCACAUACUGAUUUUUUCUGGUAAAGAUCCCCUUUUCAGUCUCCGUCUAUGUGAGUCUGGCAGGGAUGACAUCACUCUGAAACAAGCAGAGUUGUCACAUGACCCAGAUCUGACCAACCAGAAUCCCUGCCACCUAAAUCAUAGAUAUUUAGUUUAGGGAUGGGCAAAUUGGCCUAGGAAUUAACUCCAUAAUUUUUGCUAGAUCUAUCGGAAAGAAUCCAUUUCAUUCCACUGGAUUUGUAGUUAGUCAGAUAUAGGAAUAGAGCUACUGAAGGCAACCCGCAUGCCCAGUCAUACAUACACAGAAAGAAAAAUAGAGACCAACUCCUUUUGACAUUUUUGAGACCCUGGAUUCUCCUAGAGUUUUCAAUUAUGAAUGAAUUCCCUUUAUUUCUAAAGCCAAUUUGAGUUAGGUUUCUACCAAUUGCACAUGGAAAAUUCUGACUCACACAUAAGUGAUUAUUGUCAGAGAUAAGGGAGAUAAGUAAGGAGAUAAAUAAUUUCACCAAUGCUUGAAAUACAAAGUAGAAAGUAUUCACUCCUACAUGAUUUCAGGGAAAAGAGAAAUUGUAAUAAAAAUACAGAAGUACGAUUUUUGUGUACCUAUGCUAAAUAUUGUAUAUACAUGAUCUCAUUUAAUCCCCAGGUAAGCCUAAGUCAGUAAAUAUUUAUUUUUAUUUAAUUGAUAAAGAAACAUAGCCUUGGAGAGAGAAGAUAAUUUUCCUAAAAUCAUGCAGCUAGAAAAUGACAGAAGCAACGGAGUAAACUCUCUUUCUUGCUUCAAUGUUUUAAAACUUCAUUAUUCUUCGGUGUGGCAUUGAGGAAUCUGAGAGGGCUUUGUGAAGAAAAUGGACCUUGGAAGAUGAAUGUUGGAGGAAAGGAAGGGUAUUCCAGGUAGCAAGAAGGGCAAGAACAAAGGGACAAUGUUAAAUGUCUGAAUUUGAUUAUUGUACCAUUAUCAUGUAAAAAUCUGUGCUUGUUGUUUGGAAAUACACACUGAAAUAUUUA